rnacentral:lncRNA from 12 species
CUCCAGUGUUGUUUGGUUCUCAAUGUUUUUUCCCUUCCACAGAAGAGUCAUUAUGGUUUGAAUGACAUGAGGCUGAAUAAAUGUUGACAGAAUAUUCAUUUAUGGGUAAACUAUCCCUAUAAGCAAUUUGCUCUGUAUGUAAUUUGAAAAGAGAAUAAAUGGAUUUCAGUUGUGUUUUCAUGUAGGGAGUGAUGAAGAAAAAUCCAAGGGAAGGAGUAACCGCAUAAGUGAAACAGAAAUAGAUGAAAUGGGAAGAAUAGGGAAUCUGUGAGUGAGGAAACAAGACAGUGAGCGAGCUGGUGAAUGAGAGCGAGGGAGGGAGAGAUAGGCAGAAGGAACUUGUUGCCCCUGGUUGGUGUUGUGUAAGACUUGGCUGGCUGUAGCAGAAUAACACUCUUAUUCUCUCAGUGCUUUGAACUCUGGUACCCUACAGCUCCGACCACCCCUCUUUGCAACAGCAAGAACUCACAUUGAGGUCCCUCUCUCUUUCUCUCUCUCUGUCUCUCUCUCGCUCUCUCUCUGUGUCUAUUUCACUCUCCCCUUUCCUGCUGUGUCGCACUUCUCUUUCUCUUUCCUUAAGUCGUACCUCUGCUUCAUUCUCAUUUGUCUUUCACUUUCUCCCACAUGUGCUUGUCUGCUUCAGAUGUGCUGCUGUACCUUUUUGCAUUUGUAGAAAGUUUAUGAUAUUUUUUUCUGUCCUGUUGGACUGAGAACAGGCGUGUACGGCUUCAUCAGCUGGUCACAGGAUCACUCUGCUUUAUCUCUCCUCCCACUCUCCCACAAUGCAUAUCUCCCUAUAUGGAGCAAAAGUUGGCUGGUGACACAUCAUUCCUGUAUUUGUGAUAUGAAUGGAUUGCAGAGAAGCAUGUCGUCACGUGUGAUGCUACCGGCUCUACACCGACCGGAUCUGGACUGCACAUGAGCCACACUAGCUGGAGGGUGUAUGGUGUGGGAACGGAGAUGGGGGAUGUCCCUGUGUUCUUCACAGCCCGGGCAGCCAGGCUGUCAGGGACAGGCCCUGGUGGUGAAGCCUGUGAGGAGUUUGCAGAGAUGUCCCGCUCAACAAUGGUAAGAGCCAUCAGUUUUUCGUGUGAAUGGGAAGUUUCUGCUCAUGUCAGACUUACGGGGAACCUUUAUCUUGGUUUUAACCUCAAACCGUCACUGAUGGAAGUGUGUUUCUGUGCUUGUAUGACGUCUAACAGCAUGACAGAAUGGUUCCAGACGUCCUUUCUCAAAAGGUCAAGGGAAUGGGAUUAUAUGUCAAGUGUCUGUGUCGUCAUGUUGGUUUCUAGAGAUCACCAGGCAUAUCGCACGUGUGUCACUGCACACACACGAGCAAGGCUGGCACAAAGCAGCUCAACAGAUGAGACCUCAUCAGCUGCAUCCGUUUAUAGUCAUGAACAGCUGUUUUAG